rnacentral:rRNA from 1 species
UGGGGAAUAUUGCACAACGGGCGAAAGCCUGAUGCAGCAACGCCGCGUGAGUGAUGAAGGCCUUCGGGUUGUAAAGCUCUGUCUUCUGGGACGAUAAUGACGGUACCAGAGGAGGAAGCCACGGCUAACUACGUGCCAGCAGCCGCGGUAAUACGUAGGUGGCAAGCGUUGUCCGGAUUUACUGGGCGUAAAGGAUGCGUAGGCGGAUACUUAAGUCAGAUGUGAAAAUCCCGGGCUUAACUUGGGAACUGCAUUUGAAACUGGGUAUCUAGAGUGCGGGAGAGGAAAGUGGAAUUCCUAGUGUAGCGGUGAAAUGCGUAGAGAUUAGGAAGAACACCAGUGGCGAAGGCGACUUUCUGGACCGUAACUGACGCUGAGGCAUGAAAGCGUGGGGAGCAAACA